rnacentral:rRNA from 1 species
AUUGAACGCUGGCGGUAUGCCUUACACAUGCAAGUCGAACGGUAACGGGCCUUCGGGUGCCGACGAGUGGCGAACGGGUGAGUAAUGUAUCGGAACGUACCUUUCAGUGGGGGAUAACGUAGCGAAAGUUACGCUAAUACCGCAUAUUCUGUGAGCAGGAAAGCAGGGGAUCGCAAGACCUUGCGCUGAUUGAGCGGCCGAUAUCAGAUUAGCUAGUUGGUGAGGUAAAGGCUCACCAAGGCGACGAUCUGUAGCGGGUCUGAGAGGAUGAUCCGCCACACUGGAACUGAGACACGGUCCAGACUCCUACGGGAGGCAGCAGUGGGGAAUUUUGGACAAUGGGCGAAAGCCUGAUCCAGCCAUGCCGCGUGCAGGAUGAAGGCCUUCGGGUUGUAAACUGCUUUUGUACGGUAACGAAAAGACUACCUUCUUAAUAAAGGGGUCCAUGACGGUACCGUAAGAAUAAGCACCGGCUAACUACGUGCCAGCAGCCGCGGUAAUCU